UUGUUGUUCAGGAUCUGCAUCUUGAUCUUCUUGAUCUGAAAUGAUUAAAUAAGGGGGAUGAGCUACACUAGCCCAGUAAGAAUGUCAACGCUUAACACCGAUAUGAAAAAUUAAACGUUGGUAAAAUUCAUAAAACAACCAAUGGAGCCAUUUUUCUUUUUAAGUAAAUUCAUUUAAUUUUAAAAUGUAAGUUCCAUACUCACCUUUUAAGUUCUCAAUUCGACUUGUGAAGAUAACAAUCAAUAUAACAAUUCAUCAUGCAUUUCAAGGAACAAUAAUCGUCAACAUUAUCUUUUCACCUACCCACUAGUACCUCUGGGUAUCCAUAGGGGUUACCCCUACUUGUGCACCCAAAAUCCAAUUCAUUGAUUAAAUUGGUCAUCCCGAUAUCUCAUCCAGUAAUGGGUGCCAAACGUACCACCGCUUCAAUAUCAUGUCCGGGAUAAAGGUGAACUAAUACCUCUAAAACUCUUCCGAUAUGGGACUUCUCAACCUCGUUUGACUGAGAUAAUAUCAAUUGUAGGGUUGUCCUAUGUAUCGGGUCCACACACCCUUUCUCAUCAUACUUGGUAAGCCCUUUAGCAAACAGAUUCACAUCAUUUGUCAGUCACUAUUCACACACGACUAACCCAUUCUAUAUUUACAGCACAAUAGAGUGAUGAUCACGCAAACAGUACGAAUUAAUAUAUUAACAAUUAAGGAAGAUAUGAUCAAGGCAUUCAUUGCAAACCAAUUAGCAAUUAGGGACAAAAUAGGUAGAUGAACCAAUAAACACAAAACCAAUUAAAAUAAAUCAAUUAAAGCAUACGAUUGUAAACAGUAAGCAAGUCGAGCAACAUAUGAAUAAAUAAGCAACACAAAUAAGUUAAGGCAAUUAUAUACUGACAGGUUCCGACUCCACUGGUGACCUGUAAUUAGUUUAGGGAUCUCUAAAUUUUUUACAAAAAAUAUUGUUAUUAAUUAUUAAAUUUUAAUUUACUCUAACGGGAGAAAGGGAUGAGAGAUUUUUAUUUUGAGUCGAUGUUCGAAACACCGUCUUUUUUACUGCGCCUCCUGGCAGUUCUUGGCUUUCUUGAAUUUUUUAUGCAAAAAUAAAAAACACACAAUACAUAUUUUAAAAUACCCCAAAAAAGGCCAAAAUAAGAAUUUUUAAAUUUUUCUUGUCGGUUUAGGGUUCUGAAAUAACACUGUCGUCGUGCUCCAACAACGACGGUGGCGUCGCCGUGCUCCAACGUCGAUGGCGGUGUCUCCUCUCGGCCUAGCUAUUUUCAGCAAGUUUCAGCUGAUUUAGGUUUAUUUUGCAUGAAAACCUUCAAAAAAUAGGGUUAGGCAGCCUCCAUCGUCCAAAAAAGGGGAAAAUCGAGGCCUUACCGGCUGAAGAGUUUUUUGGUGCUGCAACUUCAUUGUUCCUCCCUCGUAGUUGAGGCUUCUGUUUGGCUAAAUUACACCAGAAAGAGAUGAGGAACACAAAAGUCAAAGAAUCGAAGAAAAUGAGAAACGGGAAAAGGUUCAUCAAAGUGGUUUUGGGUCACAGUCACCGCGGCUUGGCCGAGCUAUGCUCGUAUUUUUUGGCUUACCCUCUUAUCUUUUGGCUUUGAUAUCAGUGUGAGUAGGUUUAAAAUCGAAUUCUGAAUGAGAAGAGGGAAAAAUAACUUUUCAAUGUCGGUGGUGGCUCCGAUGCGGUGGUGACACCGGCCAAUCUUCUUCUUCGACGACUGCUUUACUUUCAGUCGCCCCUCUUUUUCUUUUUUGAUCUCCUCUUAGUGGAUAGGGUUAGGGUUUCAUGUGGAAGAGGAGUUUAAAUACUCCUCUCUAUUAAAUCCAGGUCGUUUGUUUGAGGAGUCGUGGCCUCUUCUCAGUCGUUGGAUUAAUCCUAUCUGGGAAAUGAAUAUGGACCGCACGAUCAAAUGAAAUCAGGAUCGUUUGAUCGCGCGUAAAGGAGAAAUGAAUCUAGGUCGUCCGUGCGCGCGGGAGGAGAUCUGAUCCAUUGGAUCGACUAGCAUGCGGCUCGCCCGCGUGGCUCCCCGCAUGGAUGUGUGCCCACAUGACUGCCACGUGACACACGACGACCGGCCGUGCUGCUGACGUGGCAAUCCACAUGGCCAACGUUUUCUUAUUUUCACUUUUACCUCAAUUUUUUAAAUGUCUUUUCAAUUAGGUCCUCCCUCAUUCUACUUUGGCCUGAUUUUCAAAUAUAUUUUCAAAUGCAUCCAAAGCACAAAUUUUCUUCAAAAAUUCACAAAAAAAUUAAAAUUAAAUUAUUAAUUUAAUUUAUUAUUAUUAUUAAAUUAUUCGGGACCUAAUUUUCGGGCUCGGGUGUUCCAGAAGAGCCUUUCCCGAUAGGCACUACGCGCGACCAAGCGCAGGACGUGCGCACUUGAUAAUUUGCAUGUAAAUUAAAUAACAUAAUUAUGGUGAUAUUUCUGAAAAAUAUAACAAAACAAAAAAAAAGAAGAGAAAAGAGAAGGGUAAUGAGCCUGAAUGGUUUGUAAAAUAUAUGUAUUUGUAUUGACAUGCAUAAUGCAUCAAGUGUCUCAUUAGGCUUUUUAUCUUUAGGGAGUUUAUGGUAAUGACAAAGUUAUAUUAUGUUUGGAAAGAUUGUGUAUUAAUAUAUGAUAAUGAUAGUUAUUUUUGUUUGAAUUGAUAGGAUAGUAUGAUUGUAUAUUUAAUUAAAUAAAUGAAAAAAAAAAGACUCAUUUAACUUGUAAUUCAGUUAUUUAACUUGCAAAAUUAUUUAAAUUAUAAUUUUUAAUGAAUUUUUUUUUUAAAUAGUAAAAAAAAAAAAGGAUAAAGGAUAAAAACUUAAUUUUUUGAUAGUGAAUAUAAAAAUUACUUUUAAAAUAUAAUUUUUUAUUUAUAAUUAUAAAUUGAAAAAAAAAUACUAAAAAAUAAAUGAAAUGAGAAACCUAUAUAGCAUAAUAACAUUUGGAUAACAAAGUGUUAAGCACUAGCUUUUCAACCUUUACCUAUUAAUAUUUGGAUAACAAAGUAUUUUAUAAGUCAUAAUCUUACAUUUAAAAGUCUGGUGAUUAUAAUUCGUUGGAAAAUCCCAACUCACUCUGAUAUUCUACAUAAUAAAACCUGUAAGUAAAAAUGUUAAUGAGUAAAAAUAUUAAUCUACAAGGAUAUAUACAAAAUGCAAAGGCACAGUGAAGAACUCCAUUGAACUCCACAAAGCAACUAUUAAUAAUUUUCAGCAUACAUAUUGAUCGAAUAAAAACUCAACAAUCAAGGCCCAAUAUAAAUUAAUAUGAAUUAAUGUUUUAAAAAAUAAACAGUAAUAGAAUUAGAUUUGGUAAAAGCAGGAAAUAUCCAAAAUAUCAAUUAUGAAGUACCUGAAGAGCAUGGGAAUACCAUUUAUAGUAUCUUAAUUCCUUAAUGAAUGAUUGAAGCACUUCUUUCUCUACAGGUCUACCUUCUUCAACCCACUGGUUCAGGAUAGGAACGAUCCAAACAAUUGGAUCUCCAGCUGGGGAGAUCCCAUGGUAGAGCUCAUUAAUUGAGAAAUUCCUCUAGGUUGCUAUUGCAAUUUUCACUGAAUAUAAUAAAGCAUUUUUCCAGCACAGAAAAGUACUAACACUAAGAAACAAAGUUCACAAAUGGCCAAAUAGAAACUUCAUCGACAAUCCAGAGAGCAAGAAAGAGAGAGACAGAGGAGUUUCUACGUUAUAGCAAAUUGAUUUUUUUUCCCCCUUUCUUCAAUUAAAGGUUGAAAAGCUGGUGCUCUGAAUCAAUCCUUGGUUCCAAAGAAAUGAAAUGAGAAACCUGUACAGCAUGUAUAUAUAGGCAAAGAAAAAUAGAUUGCCUUGAAUUAGAUCGAACGAAAGCCAGAAGCAGAAGAAGAGAAAUGAUGUGACAACUAGAGAUGAUGUGUAGAAGAUGAGAAUCUGGCAGCGUCAAAUCCGGCAGAAGCCGAAGGUAGGGGGUCGAGCCUAAAGGAGGAGAGUCGUAUCUCUAAUGGAAAAAAAACCUGGA
rnacentral:lncRNA from 1 species